rnacentral:tRNA from 1 species
UCCCAUGUAGUUCAGUCCGUAAAGCAUCUGCCUGCAACGCAGGAGACCUGGGUUCAUUCCUAGGUUGGGAA